rnacentral:rRNA from 1 species
CCUACGGGGAGCAGCAGUGGGGAAUAUUGGACAAUGGGCGAAAGCCUGAUCCAGCCAUGCCGCGUGUGUGAAGAAGGCCUUCGGGUUGUAAAGCACUUUCAGUGGGGAAGAAAGCCUUGGGGCUAAUACCCUCGAGGAAGGACAUCACCCACAGAAGAAGCACCGGCUAACUCCGUGCCAGCAGCCGCGGUAAUACGGAGGGUGCGAGCGUUAAUCGGAAUUACUGGGCGUAAAGCGCGCGUAGGCGGUCUGAUAAGCCGGUUGUGAAAGCCCCGGGCUCAACCUGGGAACGGCAUCCGGAACUGUCAGGCUAGAGUGCAGGAGAGGAAGGUAGAAUUCCCGGUGUAGCGGUGAAAUGCGUAGAGAUUGGGAGGAAUACCAGUGGCGAAGGCGGCCUUCUGGACUGACACUGACGCUGAGGUGCGAAAGCGUGGGUAGCAAACAGGAUUAGAUACCCGUGUAGUC